AAUUUUAUUACUUCACUCGACUUGUGCGCCUCGCGGGGGUAGUGCGUGCGCCGAUUCUGUGUUCACGUAGAAUAUUGACGUAAAAUAUAUGUAAAAUGAGCUAAAAAAGGAAUCUUCUUUGAAAAUCUUAGAACUUUCGUUAUCACGAGGAAUCACCCCACAGACCCUUUUGUUGACGAUGGAGAAUUUGGAUCGGAUGCUGAUUACGACUUGACGAUUGACGACGUCUAGGAACGUCAGCGCAAUAUAUUUAAAUACUAAUAUCAUCAGCUAUUUGCACAACGUCAUUAGACGUCGCUCGAAUUUAUAUGAAAAAAUGAUGUGCAAUAUCGCAUAGAGCUACAAUAUUGACUUGUUCGCGUGAAAGUGUUAAGCUAAUAAUAAUUUUAAUUAAAUAUUUAUU